UACGGGGGGGGCAAGCGUUGUCCGGAUUUAUUGGGCGUAAAGAGCGUGUAGGCGGCCAGGUAGGUCUGCUGUGAAAACUCGAGGCUCAACCUCGAGACGUCGGCGGAAACCAUCUGGCUAGAGUCCGGAAGAGGAGAGUGGAAUUCCUGGUGUAGCGGUGAAAUGCGCAGAUAUCAGGAAGAACACCCGUGGCGAAGGCGGCUCUCUGGGACGGUACUGACGCUGAGACGCGAAAGCGUGGGGAGCGAACAGG
rnacentral:rRNA from 1 species